rnacentral:rRNA from 1 species
CCUACGGGAGGCAGCAGUGGGGAAUAUUGGACAAUGGGCGCAAGCCUGAUCCAGCAAUGCCGCGUGAGUGAUGAAGGCCUUAGGGUUGUAAAGCUCUUUUACCCGGGAUGAUAAUGACAGUACCGGGAGAUAAGCUCCGGCUAACUCCGUGCCAGCAGCCGCGGUAAUACGGAGGGAG